CCUANGGGUGGCAGCAGUCGAGAAUUUUUCACAAUGGGGGAAACCCUGAUGGAGCGACGCCGCGUGGGGGAUGAAGGGCUUCGGCUCGUAAACCCCUGUCAUUUGUGACCAAGGUUGCCGGUUUAAUACAACGGUAACUUGAUGGUAGCGAAAGAGGAAGGGACGGCUAACUCUGUGCCAGCAGCCGCGGUAAUACAGAGGUCCCAAGCGUUGUUCGGAUUUACUGGGCGUAAAGGGUGCGUAGGUGGCGGAGUAAGUCUGAUGUGAAAUCUCCGAGCUUAACUCGGAAAUGGCAUCGGAAACUAUUUUGCUAGAGGAUUGGAGGGGAGACUGGAAUUCUCGGUGUAGCAGUGAAAUGCGUAGAUAUCGAGAGGAACACCAGUGGCGAAGGCGAGUCUCUGGACAAUUCCUGACACUGAGGCACGAAAGCUAGGGGAGCAAACAGGAUUAGAUACCCUUNUANUC
rnacentral:rRNA from 1 species